rnacentral:lncRNA from 1 species
AAAAAAUGGCUGACUGACCAUACCCACGAGAUUCAUUCUCUCGUUCACUUAGAGAGCAGCAGACCCGCCCCUCUCGUUUUGGUUGAAUUUUGGAGAACAGAAAAUUUCCAGGAACAAGCAGCUUUCUUCUUCAAAAAAGAGCAGCAAAACCAGCACCAAACUACACGAAAACAGUCCCAAAAAUCAGAUCCAAGACACUCCCAAAAUCCACCCCAACACCCACGAACGCAGCUGCCGAGCUUCAGCAAAAAAUGGGUUCCCUCAGCUGAAGCUAAAAGGGAUUCGAGAGUCGAGUGCGAGGUUGCCGUCGGUGGAUUCCGAUCGUGGUAGCUAGUGUUGGGUCCGUUUGUUGAGUUGCAGAAACUUUAAGUUGGGGUUUAGUCAAUAAAGGUCCAAUUCUUUACUUGAUACUCCUCUAAAUUUCAUGUUUGAUUUUGGUGGUAUGAUUCUGACGAUGCCUCCGAUGAGUGAUAUUUAGUUUAAUUGAUAGUAUUUGAUUAUUGUGACUCAAUGUUUUGCCUUGUUGAAUAUUCUGGAAUCUUGUUGUUUAAUUUAAUUUGAGUCGGAUGCCACUAAGUUAAAGAGCUAAUAGAUUCAGGUUUCGGACGUUGCACUAUUCUUUUUAUAACACCUCCAUCUCCAGUUAAAUCUAUUGCAUCACCCAUGUUAUCUAACUUUUCAGUAACAGUUCAAUUUCCCCG